ACGCUCGACACCUACGGGAGACAGCAGUGGGGAAUAUUGCACAAUGGGGGAAACCCUGAUGCAGCGACGCCGCGUGAAGGAAGAAGUAUCUCGGUAUGUAAACUUCUAUCAGCAGGGAAGAAAGUGACGGUACCUGACUAAGAAGCCCCGGCUAACUACGUGCCAGCAGCCGCGGUAAUCUGAGCGGGCUGGCAAGGC
rnacentral:rRNA from 1 species